rnacentral:misc_RNA from 1 species
GAUGAAGAACGCAGUGAAAUGCGAUACGUAAUGUGAAUUGCAGAAUUCAGUGAAUCAUCGAAUCUUUGAACGCACAUUGCACUCCUUGGUAUUCCGAGGAGUAUGCCUGUUUCAGUAUCAUGAGCACUCUCACACCUAACCUUUGGGUUUAUGGCGUGGAAUUGGAAUGCGCCGACUGUCAUGGUUGGCCCUUCUAAAAUGUAGUUCUUGGCUGUCACCUAAUACAGCAGUUUGGCCUAAUAGUUUUGGCAUUCAUUGUCAAAUCUUUGGCUAACAUUUGCUCCAGGAGUCAGUCUUGAUAAUACAGAAAACUCAUUCAAAUUUUGAUCUGAAAUCAGGUAGGGCUACCCGCUGAACUUAAGCAUAUCAAUAAGCGGAGGA